AUUGAACGCUGGCGGCAUGCCUUACACAUGCAAGUCGAACGGUAACAGGUUAAGCCGACGAGUGGCGAACGGGUGAGUAAUGUAUCGGAACGUGCCCAGUCGUGGGGGAUAACUGCUCGAAAGAGCAGCUAAUACCGCAUACGACCUGAGGGUGAAAGCGGGGGAUCGCAAGACCUCGCGCGAUUGGAGCGGCCGAUAUCAGAUUAGGUAGUUGGUGAGGUAAAGGCUCACCAAGCCGACGAUCUGUAGCUGGUCUGAGAGGACGACCAGCCACACUGGGACUGAGACACGGCCCAGACUCCUACGGGAGGCAGCAGUGGGGAAUUUUGGACAAUGGGCGCAAGCCUGAUCCAGCCAUGCCGCGUGCGGGAAGAAGGCCUUCGGGUUGUAAACCGCUUUUGUCAGGGAAGAAAAGGUUCUGGCUAAUACCUGGGACUCAUGACGGUACCUGAAGAAUAAGCACCGGCUAACUACGUG
rnacentral:rRNA from 1 species